rnacentral:rRNA from 1 species
UUAUGGCUCAGGAUGAACGCUGGCGGCGUGCCUAACACAUGCAAGUCGAACGAAGCACUUUCUCGGAGAUUCGUCGAAGAGAAAUUGACUUAGUGGCGGACGGGUGAGUAAUGUAUGAGCAACCUGCCUUUCGGAGGGGGACAACAGUUGGAAACGACUGCUAAUACCGCAUAAUGUAUCGAGGGGGCAUCCCUUUGAUACCAAAGGAGCAAUCCGCCGAAAGAUGGGCUCAUAUCUGAUUAGUCAGUUGGUGGGGUAACGGCCUACCAAGACUGCGAUCAGUAGCCGGACUGAGAGGUUGAACGGCCACAUUGGGACUGAGAUACGGCCCAGACUCCUACGGGAGGCAGCAGUGGGGAAUAUUGGGCAAUGGGCGAAAGCCCUGACCCAGCAACGCCGCGUGAAGGAAGAAGGUCUUCGGAUUGUAAACUUCUUUUAUGAGGGACGAAGGACGUGACGGUACCUCAUGAAUAAGCCACGGCUAACUACGUGCCAGCCGCGGC